CUUGGCAUGACGGGGUUUGAGAAGGGAUGCGAAGCGAAGCAGGUUGACAGGAGAGAGUGAGCACACGCCGGGGGUAAAUGGCAUGACGGGGUGCUGUUUCCGUUGCGUGCUCAAAUCUCUUGUUGUCAACCUUUCGCUGUUAUUUCUUCUGUGAUCAUACUUGAAAAUGCGCUCCCCUCCCACCGGAGAAGAGAGAGAGAGAGAGAGGGAGGUGGAGAAAGAGAGUGAUUGAACGUGUCUAACGAGGCUGCCUUUUACUUCGUCAGUGUUUCGGCGGCCGCGUUGCGAUGUUUUGCUUUGCUUCGCUUCGCUGUCAGUCAUAUCCUAUCUGCCUAUCAGCUCGACGGAUUUGCGUGGGUGAAGAAGCGCGUGCUUAAUUGCCUCUCCGGUUUUCGCUCUUUCCUUUCAUUAAUGCUUAUAAAGUUCUAGAAAUUGGGAAAUUGUAGGAAUAAUCGCGUCUGUUGAAAAGGGAAGUAAGAGAGAGAGAGAGAGAGCGAUGGAUGAGGGAGUGGUAUUGUCCGUCUCUGCCCUGUUUGUAAUGAAGCCGGAGAGAGAGAAUAAAAAGAGUACAGUACUACACCUUGAAGCAGGCUGUGCCGCCUCACCGGAAGACACUGUUUGACCAAUUCCACUCUCCUUCUUGGUGUUCUCCCAUCUUUUCUGUCGUCCUUCUUGCUGGCUUUCCUUUCCUUUCCAUGUCUGUUGCCUGUUUCGGAUAGGGUUUGGAGCGUUUCAACAAAACAUGGAUUCAAGCUGUGAGGAUCCGUGGAGAGAAGGUGCUCCCGGAGGUUCAUGUCCACCAUCGUCCAUUCCCGACCAUCACACUGUUUUUUCUUUCGUUUGCGCUCGAGACCAUUUCCUCACCACCUUGAUGGGCUGUUGCUUUGUCAACUUGAACAAAGACUCACUCGCUGCUCUCGCCACGACUCCGACGAGCGGAAAGAGGUGAGCUUUGUUGCCCUUCCCCAUGCCUGAUCGAUUCAUCUCGACUAGCUUUUGUGGAAAGAAGCCAAUGAAUCAUCGCUGGUAUCUGUCAGGUACACUUAAUCUCCAUCUAGCUUUUGUUGCUUUAAUCUUUGCUAGGUUUGUGGUGGUGGUCACUUUGCUCCAUCAUUGCUGUGGUUUGUAUGUCGCAUUUUCUGUCGUCCUUCUUGCUUUUGCUUUCCUCUCCUUUCCUUUUCUCUUGCCUGUUGCGGAUAGGGUUUGGAGCGUUUCAACAAAACAUGGAUUCAAGCUGUGAGGAUCCGUGGAGAGAAGGUGCUCCCCGAGGUUCAUGCCCACCAUCGUCCAUUCCUGGCCAUCUAACUGUGUUUUCUUUCGUUUGCGCUCGAGACCAUUUCCUCACCACCUUGAUGGGCUGUUACUUUGCCAACUUGAACAAAGACUCGCUGCUCCGACGAGCGGAAAGGGUUGAGCUUUGUUGCCCUUCCCCAUGCCUGAUCGAUUCAUCUGGACAAGCUUUUGUGGAAAGAAGCCAAUGAAUCAUCGCUCGUAUCUCUCAGCAGUACAAUGGAUCAUCUCUUUUUACAAGCAACCUGGAGGUGUUUGUAUUGCAUUGUAUCAUUUCAUUAUAAUUCACCGAUCUUAAUAAUAGUAAAAGAUCCAUGUAGCCGAUCUUAAAUAAUUGGGACAGCUUUGUUGUUGUUGUUUGUUGUUAUUGUAAAUUAAAUCGGUAUCGAUCCAUUUCAAUGAACACAAAUCACUGGUCUAAAUGUAUUUACCCUGUGAUUGAAAUUGGCACAGGAUUCACAACUGCUGUUCUUAGUUUUUGUUUUUACCGAUUCUCUGGAUCUCGAAUUGUAUCAUUGUUCUUAUUUUCCAAGACCUGCUUAGAACUUUUCAUUUCAUAGUGCUUCUUGUUGCUUCUGCAAAGUCCUUGUUGCAAUUGCUGUAUGCUUUCCCAUAAUCCAUGUAUCAAGUCACUCUAUUGCUCUCAAACUUACCAUCUUUUUA